GGUAAGACCCCCUGUAGACGACAGGGUUGAUAGGCUGGAGGUGUACGUGCCGCGAGGCAUUCAGCUGACCAGUACUAAUCGGUCGAGGGCUUAUCCUA
rnacentral:rRNA from 1 species